rnacentral:lncRNA from 1 species
AAGCCAGCCAAGCUUUGGGGUUCCCUCGGUCUCCAGUGCAAAGGAACAGGUGUACUCUCACCUUACAUGGCUUUGCCUGGCCUUCUGAGCAGCUGCAGUCCAGCAGCAGGAGCAGCUUGAACGCCUGGCAACCCCCAGCAUCAGUGGGCACAGAUCUCAUUGCCCCCACCCCACCCAGUGAAAGGUUUUGCGACCUCUACAGCUUGAGACCACCAGCAAAGGCAGCGAAGUGAUGAACACCCAGCCAGGAGGCAAAGGGCACAGCUGACGUUGAGCAUUGCCGAGGACAACGAAAAAUGAUGUUUCGCUGACCUUAACCCAACCCUCCGUCCAUCGUCUUGGGGAAGUUCCAAGCUCUCGGCCUUCAGAGGAAGCUGUGCCUGGACCCAAAUGUGCUCUGUGUGCUUCAGAAAUCCACAAAAAUCUUUCCUUGCAGCCCCAGGCCUCAUGGAGGACAGAUGGGGGCUAGGAGGGUCAAGGGUGAUGGAUCGGGGUGCCAGGGAAAGUGGGGUAACCAGCUGAGAAGGGGAUUGGCCGCACCAGUAUAGACCUUCAUGCAGUCUGUAGAUGAAUUUCUUUCAAGGUGUGGGGGGCAGGUAGGGUACAGGAUUACAGGGAGCCAAAGGAGAAAAAGCAAAUAUGAUCCGUGUCAUUUAUUUUUGCCCAAGUUCCAGCUGGGUAGCAGCCAAGAAGUUCACAGAGGGCUUCGGACUUGCUCCUUCACAUCAGAACCCGGUGGAUGUUCUCCUCAUGUUGCAGGAACACCUUAAAGAGGUCCUCGGGCACCUACAACAGGGCCUGCUGCUCUUUCCUUCCAGGGUGUUUACCAGUGAGUGGUAUGUUCAAGAUUGCAGGACACUGACAGAGUGGGAGAGAGAAAGAAACUGCUGAGACAUUUUUCACUCCAAAGAUAUUUGCCUAAGGUCCUUUCCCUCCUUAACACACCUCUGGGCCCCUGGGACCUACCCCCAAGGGAGCCGUGUCACCACUGGGAGAGACAGGGUUUGGUUUGCAGCUGGAAACGAAGAGGAGACUGGUCUGUGGUGGAGGUGUAUGAGGAUGGGGGGUACAGAUACGUGGAGAAAAGGGGAAAAAGUUAUGGAAUGGGGAGUAGAAGGAGAGGAGAAGCUUAAACAGAGAGAAAGCGAAAGAGAAAAGAGUUGUGUUAUGGGUUGAAUUGUCUCCCCCUGAAAAAAACACGUUGAAGUCCUCACCCCCGGUACCAGUGAAUAUGACCCAUUUUGGAGACAGAGUCUUUGCAGAUGUAAUCAAGUUAAGAUGAGGUCAUACUGGAAUAGAGUGGGCCCUAAUCCAACAUGACUUGUGUCCUUAUAAGAAGAGGAACAUUUGGAUACAGACAGACACAGAGGGAAGAUGGCCACGUGAAGAUGGAGGCAGAGAUUGGAGUGAUGCUGCCACAAGCCCAGGAAUGCCUGCGGCCACCAGAAGCUGGAAGAGACAAGGAAAGAUCCUCCUCUAGAGGCUUUAGAAGGAGAAUGGUCCUGCCCACACCUUGAUUUUAGACUUCUUGCCUCUAGAACUGUGAGAGGAUAACUUUCUAUCGUUUU